GACGUAGGGUGCGAGCGUUGUCCGGAUUUAUUGGGCGUAAAGAGCUCGUAGGCGGCUCGUCGCGUCGACCGUGAAAACCCGCAGCUUAACUGCGGGCUUGCGGUUGAUACGGGCGGGCUAGAGUUCGGUAGGGGAGACUGGAAUUCCUGGUGUAGCGGUGAAAUGCGCAGAUAUCAGGAGGAACACCGGUGGCGAAGGCGAGUCUCUGGGCCGAUACUGACGCUGAGGAGCGAAAGCGUGGGGAGCGAACAGG
rnacentral:rRNA from 1 species